CAUUUAGCAUAUUAGCUAACUAAAUUUCAUGAAUAUUUCUUUUAAAUUUUCAAAUAUUUAACUUCAAAACAAGUUGUGUGUUUUAAACAGGGAGUUAAUUUUUAUAUUUAUGGUUUUUAAGACUGGUCAAAUUUAGUGUCUUUUAUGCAAACUGCUUUUCAAAGAAGCAGACUUGAUGCUUUAUGCAUUGUAAAUCAGAUAUCUGAAAAUCUAUUUAUAGGCAUCAGACUUUAUUAUAAUGCUAACUGAAGCAAUUGUUCUUUACAGUUUUCCAAAAUAUAAUUGUCUGAAAUAAACCAUCUUGUUUUUAAUUUCCACAAAAAAUUGAAUUAUUGUCUUAGCAGUUUGUUGUGAGAUAAUUGUUAGCAGCUUUCAGAGAGAGAUAGCAUCUUUCUUUCUUAAAUAUUUAGUAUGUCUGCAUUCUGUUCUGCAGAGAAAUGGUCAAUGCCUGGUUCGCUGCGAGAGUCCACACCAUCCCUGUGUGUAAAGAAGGCAUCAGAGGCCACACAGAAUCUUGCUCUUGCGCCUCGCAGCAGAGUCCCUGUGCAGACAGCAGUGCGCCUGGAACACCAAGCAGGAAAAUGUCUGCCUCUGAAUUUGACCGGCCUCUUAGAGCCAUUGUCGUCAAAGAUUCUGAGGGUACUGUGAGCUUCCUCGCUGAUUCAGAAAAGAAGGAACAGAUGCCUCUAACCCCCCGAAGGUUUGAUAAUGAUGAAGGGGACCAGUGCUCGAGACUCUUGGAAUUAGUGAAAGAUAUUUCAAGUCAUUUGGAUGUCACAGCCUUAUGUCACAAAAUUCCUUGCAUACUCAUGGACUUAUCUCCGCUGAUCGCUAUCCCUGUUUCUUGUCUGUGAGGACAGCUCCAAUGACAAGUUUCUCAUCAGCCGCCUGUUUGAUGUUGCAGAAGGUUCAACACUGGAAGAAGCUUCAAAUAACCGUAUCCGCUUAGAAUGGAACAAAGGCAUUGUGGGACAUGUGGCAGCACUUGGUGAGCCCUUGAACAUCAAAAAUGCUUAUGAGGAUCCUCCGUUCAAUGCAGAAGUUGACCAAAUUACAGGUUACAAGACACAAGAGUAUUCUUUGUAUGCCAAUUAAGAAUCAUAGGAAAGAGAUCUGACUGACGUGGGUCCAGGUGCAGGCCCCAGACCGUGAUUGUCGAGAGCUCUCCCUAAGAUUCCGGCUGGCUUCCUGAGCAUCCUUGAUCGGCCUGCCUCCGUGUUCUUGCAUCCUUUCCUGCUGUCUCUGCUCUACCCUGUAAUGACUGGAUAGGAAGACAGAGAGAGAGAGAGAGAGGCAGAGACACAGGCAGAGGGAGAAGCAGGCUGCAUGCAGGGAGCCCGACGUGGGAAUCGAUCCCGGGAUUCCAGGAUCAUGCCCUGGGCCAAAGGCAGGCGCUAAAUUGCUGAGCCACCCAGGGAUCCCCAGCCAACACCAAUUUCAACUACUUCCUACGGAACCUAAGUGUGAUUUUAUGAACAAUCGAUGAGGAAACAGACCUGGAACACUUAAGAACUCACUGAAAGGGUUGUACUACAAAGCUGUGGUCAUCAAGACAGUGUGGUAUUGGCACAAAAACAGACACAUAGAUCAAUGGAACAGAAUAGAGAACCCAGAAGUGGACCCUCAACUUUAUGGUCAACUAAUAUUUGAUAAAGAAGGAAAGACUAUCCAUUGGAAGAAAGACAGUCUCUUCAAAAAAUGGUGCUGGGAAAAUUGGACAUCCACAUGCAGAAGAAUGAAACUAGACCACUCUCUUGCACCAUACACAAAGAUAAACUCAAAAUGGAUGAAAGACCUCAAUGUGAGACAAGAUUCCAUCAAAAUCCCAGAGGAGAACACAGGCAACACCUUUUUUGAACUCAGCCACAGUAAAUUCUUGCAAGAUACAUCCACGAAGGCAAAAGAAACAAAAGCAAAAAUGAACUAUUGGGACUUCAUCAAGAUAAGAAGCUUUGGCACAGCAAAGGAUACAGUCCACAAAACUAAAAGACAACCUACAGAGUGGGAGAAGAGAUUUGCAAAUGACGUAUCAGAUAAAGGGCUAGUUUCCAAGAUCUAUAAAGAACUUAUUCAACUCAACACCAAAGAAACAAACAAUCCAAUCAUGAAAUGGGCAAAAGACAUGAACAGAAAUCUCACAGAGGAAGACAUAGACAUGGCCAACAUGCACAUGAGAAAAUGCUCCGCAUCACUUGCCAUCAGGGAAAUCCAAAUCAAAACCACAAUGAGAUCCCACCUCACACCAGUGAGAAUGGGGAAAAUUAACAAGGCAGGAGACCACAAAUGUUGGAGAGGAUGCGGAGAAAAGGGAACACUCUUACACUGUUGGUGGGAAUGUGAACUGGUGCAGCCACUCUGGAAAACUGUGUGGAGGUUCCUCAAAGAGUUAAAAAUAGACCUGCCCUAUGACCCAGCAAUUGCACUGUUGGGGAUUUACCCCAAAGAUUCAGAUGCAAUGAAACUCCGGGACACCUGCACCCCGAUGUUUCUAGCAGCAAUGUCCACAGUAGCCAAACUGUGGAAGGAGCCUCGGUGUCCAUCGAAAGAUGAAUGGAUAAAGGAAGCUGUGGUCUAUGUAUACAAUGGAAUAUUCCUCAGCCAUUAGAAAUGACAAAUACCCACCAUUUGCUUCAACGUGGAUGGAACUGAAGGGUAUUAUGCUGAGUGAAGUAAGUCAAUCGGAGAAAGACAAACAGUGUAUGUUCUCAUUCAUUUGGGGAAUAUGAUUAAUAGUGAAAGGGAAUAUAAGGGAAGGGAGAACAAAUAAGUGGGAAGUAUCAGAAAGGGAGACAGAACAUAAAGACUCCAAAC